ACUGGCUAAUACUGAAAUGCAAAUUGCAUUUAUUGAGGUAUGCCUAGAAAUAUAAUUUGAAUUGCAUCAGAAAGCGAUGAGGUAAGGUAUCAAAAAUAAUCCCUGGGCACGUGCUCCGUGGGUGCUUUGCUUUAUUGCUUCACGAUGCUAGGACAUAAUCGGUUUCCGAGAUUUUCACCACACAGACCACCGACAAUUCGAGGCUAUGUUAACCUGAUGAGCAACCAAUUCAGCUGAUGAGUUAACAAUCUUCAGUCAACGCCUGAUUGUUGCCUGAUGUUAAUACCAUCACAACACUGAUGAUGUUAACCGCUGGUCGGCCUUGUGAACGGAACAACCCAACUACAGCCAACGGCGCUAGAGUGCACUCGCGACUAGUCAGUGCUCGAGUUAGCCGCGCCGGAUCGCAAUCAGUCGCAGUUCAGCCGGUUCAGCUGAAGCACUUGUACGAGACUUUCAAUCAGUCAUCACGGUGCCUAGUUCAUCGCAGUACUUAUUCAACUUCCAACCACGAAGGGCAGGCAUUACAUGGCAUCGCACAAUUCGUUUACAGGUACUCUGAGAUGCUGUCGCCGCAGUUAUGACCCCCUGGACUUCCCCUGUUCAUCAGGGGGAUCCCAGGGGACGGUGGACUCCCCCUGAUGAACAGGGGGAGUCCGGUCAAUGACGUCGGAGGAACUGUGACCUGUAACAUAAAUAACAAAUGAAUAAUUAUUUAACGCAAUACAUGACUUAAUGUAUGACCUAUCAUGUAACCUGAUGUAUAACUUAUUUUAUGAUUCAGUAUAUAAGU
rnacentral:misc_RNA from 1 species